rnacentral:lncRNA from 1 species
CGUGAGACAAAAACCACACAUUGACUGGUGAACGUGAGACAAAUCACAGUUUAACUGGUAAAUGUGAGACAAAAACCACACAUUGACUGGUGAACGUGAGACAAAUCACAGUUUAACUGGUAAACGUGAGACAAACCACACAUUGACUGGUGAACGUGAGACAAAUCACAGUUUAACUGGUAAACGUGAGACAAAUCACACAUUGACUGGUAAAUGUGAGACAAAUCAUAGUUUAACUGGUAAACGUGAGACAAACCACGCAUUGACUGGUGAACGUGAGACAAAUCACAGUUUAACUGGUAAACCUGUAACAAAAAUCACACAUUGACUGGUGAACGUGAGACAAAAAUCACACAUUGACUGAUAAACCUGAAACAAAAAUCACAGUUUAACUGGUAAACGUGAGACAAAAAUCACAGUUUAACUGGUAAACGUGAAACAAAUCACACAUUGACUGGUAAACCUGAAACAAAUCAUAGUUUAACUGGUAAACGUGAAACAAAUCACAGUUUAACUAGUAAACAUGAAAACAAAAAUCACAGUUCAACUGGUAAACGUGAGACAAAAAUCACAGUUUAACUGGUAAACCUGAAACAAAAAUCACAGUUUAACUGGUAAACGUGAAACAAAAAUCACAGUUUAACUGGUAAACAUGAGACAAAAAUCACAGUUUAACUGGUAAACAUGAGACAAAAAUCACACAUUGACUGGCAAACCUGAAACAAAUCACAGUUUAAGUGAUAAACCUGAGACAAAAAUCACAGUUUAACUGGUAAACAUGAGACAAAAAUCACAUAUUGACUGUAAACCUGAAACAAAUCACAAUUUAAGUGAUAAACCUGAAACAAAAAUCAUACAUUGACUGGUAAACCUGAAACAAAUCACACAUUGACUGGUAAACCUGAAACAAAAAUCACAGUUCAACUGGUAAACGUGAGACAAAAAUCACAGUUUAACUGGUAAACCUGAAACAAACCACAAAUUAACUGGUAAACCUGAAACAAACCACACAUUAACUGGUAAACGUGAAGCAAAUCACAGUUUAACUGGUAAACUUGAAACAAAUCACACAUUAACUGAUAAACGUGAGACAAAAAUCACAGUUUAACUGAUAAACAUGAAAUAAAUUACAAUUUAAGUGACA